rnacentral:rRNA from 1 species
AGAGUUUGAUCCUGGCUCAGAAUGAACGCUGGCGGCGUGCUUAACACAUGCAAGUCGUACGAGAACGCUUCAGCUUGCUGAAGCUAGUAAAGUGGCGUACGGGUGAGUAACGCGUGGGUAAUCUACCUCCGAAUUGGGGAUAACGUUGCGAAAGUGACGCUAAUACCGGAUAACAUCUUAAGGGCUUUGGUCCUUUUGAUCAAAGGUGGCCUCUCCUUGGAAGCUAUUGUUUGGAGAUGAGCCCGCGUCCCAUUAGCUUGUUGGUGGGGUAAUGGCCUACCAAGGCAACGAUGGGUAGCUGGUCUGAGAGGAUGAUCAGCCACACUGGAACUGACACACGGUCCAGACUCCUACGGGAGGCAGCAGUGAGGAAUUUUGCGCAAUGGGGGAAACCCUGACGCAGCAACGCCGCGUGAGUGAUGAAGGCUUUCGGGUCGUAAAGCUCUGUCAAGUGGGAAGAACCACUUUGAGGUUAAUACCCUCGAAGUCUGACGGUACCACUGAAGGAAGCACCGGCUAACUCCG